rnacentral:rRNA from 1 species
UACGUAGGGUCCGAGCGUUGUCCGGAGUUACUGGGCGUAAAGCGCGCGCAGGCGGCCCGCGAGGUGUCACGUGAAAGCCCCGGGCUCAACUCGGGAGGGUCGUGGCAAACCGGCGGGCUUGAGGCCGGUAGAGGUGGGUGGAACUCCUGGUGGAGUGGUGAAAUGCGUAGAGAUCAGGAAGAACACCCGUGGCGAAGGCGGCCCACUGGGCCGGUACCGACGCUGAGGCGCGAAGGCGUGGGGAGCGAACGGG